CUGGGAAGAGAAAUCGUCCCGGGAUUUUACAUAGCAACUGGCCAAAAAGUUGUUGAGCAGCAUACCCAGAUCAUCAAAGGCAAGCAGACGUUUCCCAGCUACCAAAACAGCCAUGUCUGUGUCUGCUGAACUGUGACCCUCCAGACCACCAUCUUCUGUCUCUCUCCAGGGUGGCAGAGACCGAUGGUAUUUACAGCUGAGGAGAGCUCUCACCAGGGGGCUUGUGAUGUACUGUAUCCAGGAAGAUCCACAGGCAUGCAUCAGUAACAUGGAAGGGGCUACAUUCAUGUUCUUCACAGAUCAGUACCAGUCCUGGAGGCCCGGCGCUGUUCUGAUGAUGUGAUUAUUUCCCAGUGGCACCUGGGAACAGGGUGGUUUAAGAAGGCAAUGCUCACCGCCAAGUGUGCAGAUGUUUCUAAUUGCUUUCCAUUACCAAGAAUAACAGCUUUUUAUAUCUAUCAGCAAAUAAUUCAGCAGAGUUCCAGACUGUUAGGAUAACAUAUCCCAUCUGAUGACCAUCACCAGUUGUCAGCUAUAGGAGAAGGGUACUUUGCCAUGCCUUUGUUAGAAAUCGCCAAUGAUGAACUAUUGGUAAUGUCACCUUCAGACAUUUUUAUUCCAC